GGGGUUGUGACUCAGUGGUAGGGCGCUUGCCUAGCACAUGUGAGAGGCACUGGGUUCGAUCCUCAGCACCUCA
rnacentral:tRNA from 1 species